GAAGAAGCAGGCUCACAGCAGAGGAGCCUGACGUGGGGGCUCGAUCCCAUAAUGCCGGGAUCACGCCCUGAGCCGAAGGCAGACGCUUAACCGCUGUGCCACCCAGGCACCCCACAGUCUCGGUUUUCUGAUCUGUACUUUGGGAUCAUUCACCUGACCUGGCAGGGUGGUUGUGAGGGUUGAGCAAGUAGGGACAUUCAGUGGACUUGGCAGGGUUUAAAUCCGUUUAUUAGUGGGCUACCUUUAGGCAAGUUGCCUCCUCUAAGCCUCAUCUGUAAAAUGGGGAUAACCAUACUCCCUGCCUCCUGGGGAAUUUGUGACAAUGAAGUGAGAUCCUGUACAUACAGCAUGUAUUACACACUCAAUAACAGCGAGCUAUGCGUUAUCAUUGCUGCUGUCACUGCCUUCUCUUUCCUUCCCUCAGAAGAUGGGUGCCGGGAGGGCACAGCCUGGCCUUUAGCCUCCCUCUUCCUCCCCGGGGGUCAUCAGAAAUCUCUGGAGUCUCACUACACACCACAGCUGCGUCCCAGGUCGGUGACCUGUGUGAGCCCAGCCCCUGCCAGAGCCUCGGUCUUCUCCUGCAUUAUGGGGCUUGUGGCAGGGCUGGCCGGCCUCACCAGGAGGUUCCAGCUGGGCCCAUGAUCUAGAAAAGGGAAAGAGCUCUAGAGUGGGUAGAUGGGGUCUUGUGAGGGAGCGACAUUUUCCUAGCAAUGCUGUAGAUGCAAUCUUGGGGGACCUCCUAGAGAUGGGGCUGGUGGGGGAGCUUCUGACUGAACCCCUUUGGAAAGGUGACCUGGGGGUGGUGAUAAGAGACAGGAAGGGCACCGUGGCUCUGCUGACCCUCCAAGGGAAGGUUUUAGCAGCAGGGAUGGCCAAGCCCCUGCUGCAGGGUGGGGACACUCAGGCCACAGUGAGAGGACCUGUCUCUGAUGUCCAUGUGCAGUGUGGCCCUGGGUGCUUGGUGUACUUUCUCCGUGCCUCAGUUUCCUUUGCCGUGAGUGUCCCAGGUAGGCCUCACUCCCUCAUCUGCUGGAUUUCCCAGCCCCCGCGGACCCCCUGGCCCGGCCCCCUUGCCCGCAUGGAGGCUGAGGCCAGGGCUCAGGGCCAGGGCCGCGCACCUUGACAACCCGCCCACGUCAGGCACAAAGGCCCAUUGUUUGGGCCCACGUUGGCGGGGAAGCGGGCGGGGAGCAGCCGCCUUUCACCCAACCCGCUUGUGGUCGGCGGGGACUGAGGAGCGAUUCACAGAGGCCCCCGCCCCCUGACCGGGCACCCGGCCAGGCCGCCUCCUGGGCAGGCACCCUUGCCAAGCUGGCAGCUCCUACUCUGAGCUGGGCCUCAGUUUCCCCAGCUGAGAAGAGGGCCGCAGAAUGGCUCUGGAGGGGUGGGCAGAGCUUGCUCUUUGACCUUGCUGCCCUGAGAUCCGUCUUCAUGAGGCUGUGGCUUCCCCUGGCACAGAGAGGCUGCUCCAGCUGCACCUGAGGAGGCCAGAGGCACUAGAACUUCAGGGCCUGACAGACCUGGGUUCAAAUUCUGGGUGAUUUUGGGUGAGUUUGUUCACCUCCAUGAACCUUAGUUUCUUCAUCUAUAAAAGGAGACUUGGGGUCCAUGACCCUCAGGGUAAAAUGAGAAAAAGGUGCCACAGGUGACAUUAUUUGGUCGUUUGUUCAAAAAUACAUCCUGGGUGUCAACCAUGUACAGGAUUUUUGAUAGAAUUUGGGUGCAAAAUGAAAUACAGAGCCUCUUGUUCAAAAUAAGAGCUCCAAGAUGGCAGCAGCAUUAAACCAAACAUGGCAGCUUCUAAGCGUGGGACUCUGUGUGAUGGUGCAGAUCACACACCCAUGGAGCCCACCCUGACUGUGCUGAGCACUCUCCCGGGCCUGGGGACGCAGCUCAUAAGCUGAGGAAAGCUUAUGUCCUCAUGAAGCUGACAGUCUGUCAGGGGAUCCAGGGCUUCCUUUGGGACUGCCUGUUAGAUCUUUUUUGAAGCCAGGUGUCCCUGGAGGCCUGCUCCUCCAGGGCCUGCUGGCCAGGUGAUGCAGGGUGAGCUGGGGCACCCAAGCUUCCCAUCGGGGCUUUGUGUGAAUGACCGCACAUCAAGCUGGGCCCCCCAAAUGAGUAAUGGCUGACAUUGACUGAGUGGAGACUCCAUGCUAGGGCUGAUCCAGACGCUUCUCCCAGUUAACGCAGGUCAUCUUUGUAAUGGCCCUGUGAGGAGGCAGGGCAGCAUGGUUCCCCCUCUAUACAGAUGGGGAAACUGAGGCUCAAGUCAGUGAGCAGAAGAGACAGGAUUUAAACCCAGGCUGUCUGGUGCCAGAGCCUUAAUCUCCUCAUCCUACUGUCUGCCAAGGGGGCAGUGAUGAGCCAGGUGGUGUGUGCCUGGGACAGAGGCCCUGCUGGGGUUCGAGGCUGGGAAGGGCGCGGGUGUGCUGGUGGCCCGCCAGCUGCCACCUGGGUUGGCCCUGCUGUGGCCCUGAGUCACAGCCCUGUGUCCUGGGAAGCUGGCUGUGCCUCGGGCACCCAUGGGGCCUGAGUCACAGCAGAGCACACCCUGCCACCCUGCCUACCUCCCGCCUGGGCCUGGGGACAGGUAGGCCCUAGAAGCAGAUCUCUAAGCAGGAGCUCACAUUUGUGCCCACUGUCAGGGGCAAGAGAGAGGUACCUGCUUGCAGCCCCAGAAGCACAUUUCUGCCUUGUCUCAUGGAGCCCAAACUCACCCUUCCAAGUUAUCCCAAGAUGGGUUAGCAGGCUGGUGAGUUACUGAGCUCCCCGUCCCUGGGAGCAUUCAAGGAAGGAUAGCCUGUCAGGAUGCUGAAGAGGGUUGCUGUAUCAGAUUGGGCCUGGCAUUGGAGUAUGUGACUUCCAAAACCCUAUCUUUGUUCAUGUACUUAUUUUUGAGUAGCUACUGUGAGAAAAUGGCCUAAAAUCCAAAAAGUACAAAAGGAUAGGGAGUGAAAAGUAAGUGUCCACCCUCCCUGACUCCCAGCCUCCAACUUUUCCUCCCCAGAAGCAGCCACCAUUAACUGAUGUUUUCCCCCAGAGCUAGUUUAUGUACCUACAAACAAAUAUAUACAUUGUCCUUUCCUCCCUCCUUCCUUCACACACAAAUGAUAGCCUACUGGCUUAUAUUCCAUUCUGCCCCUCAUUUAAUUUCUGUUUUACUUGACAACUUAUCUUGAAGGCUGUUCCAGAUAGCACACAUAGUGUGCUGCCUCACAGUUCUUACCCAGCCACAUGGCAUUCCUCCUCCCCACCCCCUGCCUUCCACAUAAUCUAUAUAGCACAUUUAAUGAAAGGCCUUUCAAUCCUGAAUUCUGCAUUUUGGGGUUGGUGCCAUCCUUCACUCUGAUGGCCUGAGGAAAUUUUCAAAGUUUGACUGGAAACUGUAAGCUCUUUCCACAUAUGCAGGGAUGUUUGGGGGCAGGGGGGCGGCGGGCGUCUGUUUUUGGUUGAAGUUAUACAAGACAUAAAAGAGCAAGAGCGAGAGAGAACCUUUCACCCACACACCUCCGUGCCAGGCACUGAUGAUCUAAUGGUGAACCCCACAGACACCAGCUCAUCUACCUGUAGUGUGGCCAGGCUGUGGGACGAGGUGCCCAUGUGUGGUGCCUGGGAGCCCUGUGUGUGUGUGUGUGUGUGUGUACGCACGUGUACACACAUAUGUGUGAGGGGUCAGCAAUGAGACGAGUUAGGUGGGGCUUUAAGGGAUGCAUAGGAGUUCAUAUGAGAAGCAUGGAGAUGGGCCUACCAGGCAGAGGGGACAGCACGAAGAGUGAAACUACUUGGUGGAUGCAGAACUGACUACCAGCUUCAAUUUAUUGAGUACCUACUAUGUGCCAGGUACUGUGCUCAGUGCUUUAACGUCAUUGCUGUAUUUAAACUCCCCAGAAUUCUAGGCUAUUAUCAUCCCCAUUUUACAGACAAAAACCAAGGUACAAAAAAGCAUAGUUACUUGCUCGUGGCCACACGGCUGCAGGUAUUGGAGCCUAGAUUUGAACCAGGCAGAUUGAGCUCCUGGCCGUUCUAGUAUUUCACAAAGGCAAAGGGAUAGCUGGUAAGGCUCUGAAUGUUAGACUUCAAUGUCUAACCUUCCCAGCUCAGGUCCUGUGCCUGCUCAGAGGCCUUCAGUGUUUCCCCAUGGCCCCAGGAUCCCCUGGUCUGAGCUACCCUCUGCUCCCACAGCCAGCACGGGUGCCUCGGGCAGCACGAGACCUUUCUGGUGAGCUGGGUGCUACAGGCACUCCCUAACUGCCAGGGAGUACUCCGGGCAUACAGACCCUGGCCUGUCCCCACUGGUAGGUUUCAGAUGUGGCUGGAGAUUGGACUGGAUUCCAAGGUCUUGGUGCUUUGAGGCCUCUGAGCUGUCUCAGGUACAGCUCUGGUUAGCACUCAGUCUGUUUCCCAUGUGCUUUGGUGGGUAUUGGGCCCGAAGCUUUUGAAAUCCCACUGACCCUGCAGUGUGGGAAUUCAUCACCCGGUUUUGCAGAUGAGAAAAUGGAGGUUCAGAGAGGUGAAGUGACUUCUCUCAGGCCACACAUUGAGCAAAGAGCAGAGCCAGGACAUGAAUCCAGACCCCAAGUUUGACUCUUAACCACCCCACACUCCUGCCUCCAUUCAGGAGGGUUUCCUAGUCUGCCCCUGGGCAGGGGCUUCAUCUCUCCCUCUCACCUGGGUUCUAGAAAGGAGCAAUGAGCCUAUUGUCCUGGGGAGCUUGACUGUUAUGCCUAGGAACUCAGGAUCAAGGGGGGGGCCUGGAGAUGGCCCAUGCUGCUCCCCCCACCCCUCUGCCAGCAUUAAGAUGCAGGCCUCCUUGCUUCUCCCAGCAGUGAGAGAAUAAUAGUUGGUUCAAAUGUCAGGCCUGCUCUGCUGCCUGUGGGGAGACUGGUUGAGCAGGUCUGGGGGAGGGACGGAGGGAGGAAAUUAUUAAUAAUUGCAAAGCAGCCAGCCUUGCUGCAGGCCUUGAGAUGAGGUGUGGGUUUGGGGGUGCUAAUCCUAGGGACUCUGCCCUGGAGUGAGAGGCAGCCUGCAGCUUCCCGGGAGCCUGUGUGUGUGGAGGAGGUGAUUGGGGGCACAGAGUCAGCCUUUCUGAUUUGAGACACGUUGGCCUCCCUGCCUCUCAUCAACCCCUAUCAUGAGGGCUCUGCCAGUGUCAAGAGGAGGCAGGAAAGAGCCUACUGUGUGCCCUCGGAAAGUGUCUCACUAUAGCCAGAUGAGGCUGGCAUUGUUACUGUCUUCAAUUGACAGUUGGGGAAACUGAGGCACAGGGGGGUUCAGUUGGGACUUGAAUUAAGGAUGUUUGAUUGCAGCUAGGCUGCCCUUGCUCGUGUCUCAACACUCUACUUAGGGUGGAGGGGAAGACCCCCCCCACAGCAUCAGCAUAAUCGCCAGUGUCAUACCCCAGAGGAUGGGAGUUUGUCCCAGGCUUUUCUGAACCUCAGUCUCUUCAUCUGUACAAUGGGGAGCCAGAGCUCCUUCCUCUAGGUCAGGGGUGGCUGACAACGGGAGGAAGUACGGAGAUAAAGGGCAGGUUUACCACCUGCCUACCAUCUCCUCCCCUCCAGCGCCAGUCCCUGACGACCAUCACCCUACGAACGUCCUUUCUUUCCUCCUUUCUCCAGCACACUCGGCAAGCUCUGCCCGUUAGCCACGACCACAGGCAGCUCUCCACUGGGUCUUCCUUGGCCCUUCGGGGACCUACAGAGAGGGCUCCCUAGCCAGGCUUGGAAAAACUCACCCUGAAAUGUCUUGUGAGUUAUCAGUGCACACUCUAGCAGCAAAAUGGCUUGAAUGGUGCAAGUUGAGGCCAUUCAGGGAAGAAUGGUGGGGAUUCUGGGAGCUGAAAGCCAACCCCUGGGCUUGUGGCUAGCUGCCACCGAUGGCAGAGACAUGCCCAGAUCGCGUGCCACCGAGCUCCAGGACCGCUGCAUCUGUGGGGGACCUCCGGGCGUCCCCCUCCUUGGCCUGCCCCGAUGGACCGAUAAGGCCCAGCUCGGAGGAGGCGGCGGCCAUAAUUACAGGCCUCAGUGGUGGCGGGAGGCGAGUCAUGAGGUGGGGGUGACUCAGAGGAUUGCUCCACGAGUUGAGCGGGGGUGGGGCCGCCCUCCUGUCUGCUCCUCACCCCACUGGCCUGAGGAGGACCUGGGCACCCAAAAGGCCCUUCGGGGCCCCUGGGCGCGGCCAGGCCAGGGGCUCACCCCGAGCCUAUGACUAGGGGCCUGUGCCUCUUGGCAUCCUUGGGGCUUGGCUUUGUGUCGGGAUCUGGGCGGCUGGGUUUUCCCCUUGCUCCCUCUCGGGCAUCAUUUCUGGGAAGUGGGAAUCAGGGCUCCGAGGCGCCAGACAGUGAGGUCCAACUGAGAGUAGCAGGCUGGUGGCCGUGCAGAUUUACCGGACCACGGGGGCGGGGCGCCGGGAAUCCCAGAUUAGGGACACGUGUGGGCUCCCAAGAACUGGCAGGUGCUGCUUUCUAGAACCAAUAUUUCCAGGUUCAAGGAUUCAUGGAUUAGCAGAUUUGUAGAAUUAUAAGUUUAUAAAAUCAGGGAAUCAGUUACAAUUGGUUCCAGAGAAUUUAUACAUCCAUUGAGGGAGAGAUUUAAAAAAAAAAAUCACAACAGCUGAAGAAUUUAGGAAUAAAUUAUCUUGGUGUCUUCAGCUUGCUCCCACACUGGUCACCAAGAAGAAAAAAGAAAAGGGAAUAAAAGUAUAAAUAUCCAUCCUGUUCUACCUAGCGAGAGGAAAAGUGCAUGAAGCUAAAAGUCCGCAACUGGUGAAGUGAGGCGUUCGUUGUGCUGGGUUUUUCUUUUGAACUUUCUCUGGUUUUGAAAUUUGCCAAAAGGAAAAAUUGGGGAAGAGUAAAAUAGGAAAUGAAAUGUAAACAUGAGGUGUAGUGUAAUGGAUGAUACGUCCGGGUGAUCUGUAACAGGGUGACUUCGUGAUUUCUGUGUCUGUGACUCUCUUGAUUUGUUCAUUAUGGUUUCUAGCUAUAUGAUGUUUGGGUUACGUACUGUAGGUCAGGAGCUAUUCUAGAGGCUCUGCAAAUAUUAACUUAUUUAAUUCUUAACAACAACCCUAUGAGGUGGGUGUUAUUGUGGUGCUCGUUUCACAGAUGGAGAAACUGAGGCAUGGGGGGGUUAACUUAUUCAAAUCUUGCUCAGUGCCUUGUUGGGUGCCUGCUACCUGCCAGAUACUGUGCUAGAUGCUGGAAUAGAGCAGAGUUCAGGACAGACACUGUCCCUGCCCUUGGGGAAUUUGGCAGGGAAGACAAAUAAUAAACAAAUGAGUAAGAUUAUUGGAAGUUUAAGGCGGAAAAUGAGGCUGCUGCUUUGAGGGUGCAGGGGCUCCCUCAGAUCAAGUGAGCAGGAGGGCCCAUCUGAGGAGGUGGUUUUGAGUGGGGGCCAAGGGAGUGAAGGAGGCUCACUGGGCAGAAUGCCCUCCCUUUGCCCCAGCUGUGCCUUCUGCCAGGAGCGCCCUUCCCUCUGCAUCUCUGUGCCAAACUCCCACUCACUGUUCCAGACCCUGCUGGGCAGGCACUUCCUCCGGUGGUGGGAGGUGGACUGGGGGGCUUCCCCAGCCGGAGGGGGAAACUGUCCUCCCCUGUCUUCUCUCUCCUCUCUGUUCCUGGGACAGGCCCUGAAUGUGGGGGGCCUCCCUCAAAUCAGCAGCAACACCCACCUGCCAGGACUGCCAGCCACUAUGCUGGGGUCUCUCCCGGAGUGGGAGACAGGAUUAUCUCCUAGGAAGGAGAUGAAGGUCCAGAUAGGUGAAGAGACUUGCCUAAGGACACCCAGCUAAUUAGCAAGUAUUUAAUGAGGGGAAGGGUCUGCACUCAAGACUGACAGGCUGCCUUUUGGUUAUUGUUUACCUGCCACCUCCCUGCCCCCUGGCUGGGGGCCUCUUGAGGGCAGGUGCUGGGAGCCUGACUUAGCUUGGUGCCCGGCAUCCCCUAGCUCUGGGCCUGGGCUGCUUGGAGAAGGCGUGUGGAAUGAUCUGACCUUUGCCAGGCUGAGAGCGUGAAAUUGAGCAACAUCUAGCUAGGCCAGAACCCUGGGGGUGGCCCUUCCUCCAGGGGAAGGCAGGUGGGGAUCCAAGCCCCCGGGCAUCCAGAGGGACCCGGUGCCUGCUGGCCCCCUCUAUGCCCCAGUGAGCAUUGAGAACCUACUUGGGACAAGUGGCCCACGUCACCCCCACAACGGAUUGGUUCAGACCCUUUGCUCUCCAAGCCUGUUCCUGGAACCCCCUGGCGCACAUGGGCAGACUACCCGCACGCCCAUUUCCCAUCCCAGCCCCAGGGGCUCCACCAGCUGGUGGGGACACAGAGGUGCUCAGAAGGUUCUGUCUGAGAUGAGGGGUGCAGGUGUGUGGGAGAGGGGCUCCCUCCCUGCAUCUCUGUCACUGAGGAACCUGGCAGGGUGGAAGGAGCCCAGACAUGGAGUUCUCACACUGGGUUCAAAGCUGCUCUGUCCUUUGAGGCUCUAAAGUCUGAAAACUUGGUCUUAUCUGCAAAAUGGAGACCGUCAAACUACCCGCCCUGGGGGAUGAAACAGUAGCACCCGGCCGGCACAUAGUAGGUACUCGAUAAACACCAGCUGUGGUAGCUACAGAUUAGGACCACUGCUGAGGAUUUCUGAGUCUUCGUUCACUCAUUCAUUGCCCCAGUAUUUCCUGAGACCCUACUGUGUGUCAGGCCCUGAGUAGAGUGUUAGGGGCCCAUCACAGAACAAAACAGACAAAAUCUUGCCUUUGGACAGAGGGACAGUGAACGAGGGAACAAGGAAGCAAACAGCAUCAUUUCCGACCGCAGUAAAUGCUUUGAAGGAAAUGAAGCAGGGAGGCAUAAUAGAGAGUGACUGGGGACCCCUUCGGGAGAGGGCCUCCCUGAGAAGCAGCUGUGGCCUAAAAGAAGGGUGUUGAAGGUGCAGGGAACAGCAGAAGCAAAGGCCCUGAGGUCAGAACUAGUGAGGUGGGUUCAUGGAACACUAGGGCCGUCACUGUGGGGGGCGCAGAGCGAGGGAGAGGAUUGGAAAGAGAGGGAGGCAGGGGUGAGGACUUGGAAUUUCAUUCCAACAGUGAUGAUUAUAAACAAAGACCAAAGUUGUGAAUGACUACAAUAUACAAAGCGCAAACUCAUAGUGAUUCACUUCCAGCCCAGAGCUUGGGCACUUUGGGUCAGGCUCCUCAAAGAAAAGCACCUGCUCACCCCUCCCCUGCCAACUUUCUUGUGUAAAGAAAUACUAAGGGAACAGGUCACUGCCAUCUGUGAGGUGCAAACACAGUGUGUAAGAUGCAAAUGUGUGUGUUAGUUGCGAAUGUAGCCACAACAUCUGGCCUUGGUGCUUGUGGGGAGGGGGAAGGGGCCGGGGAGGGGGCCGCGUAACAUCACCAGCCCUGAUUUCAACAGCACCGUCUCAACUGGGGAAAGCUUGGGAGAUCAGCUGGUCUAACCCCCUGACUCCCAGAUGAGGAACCUGAGGUCCAGACAAAGGGAAGUAAGUGGCCAAAGGUGACACUAUGAGUCAGAGGCAGAUGUAGGACUUGAACCCAGGCCCCCAACUUCCAACCCAGACUUUCUGAGAAAUGGGUGUCUUGCCAUGUGCUUCCCCUUUGUUCUUUCCUCCCAGACAGAGUCAGCUGCCCUCAGGGCCAGGGAGGAGGCCUGGGACAGGGGUCUGGAGAUUUGGGGCCCACCCCCUCACUCUCCUGAAGAAUUUCUUGGUGGCACCACUGGCGUUUUGACCCAGAUAAUCUACCCUCUGCUUUGGAGGCUGUCCUGGUGGAGUAUCUCUCAGAUGGACCCCUGCCUAGAAGCGGGGGCAAAGGAAUGCCUCUGGAGAUUGUAAAGUUGCAGGGAAGGAGGCAUUUCACUUAGAGGUAGUAAUGAUCCCCGAGGGUUAACCCCCCAAUGGCAUUGCUGGAUAUUGACGUAAACGACAGGCAAUUACAGGAUGAAUAACUCAGGAGCUACUCCCAUGUUAGGAGAAUAGAUCCUUUGGCUCAAGACACAAUUUGCACGCAGAACGAUUUUCACAGAGCGCCACUUCCCUUCAGCCCGCAGAUGAGCACGCCGUGACCUGGAAACCUGAGGCCGGGAACUCACAGAAUGGACGGCCACAUGAUGAAGGUGCUGCUGUCGAAGGGCCAGGUGUGGAGAAAGCCAUUCCAGCGACUCUAAGAGUAUGGGGGGGAAGAACGCAGACUGGAAAAAGAAAUGAGUUUUGAAGAGUAGACUUUAUUUUUUAGAACGGUUUUAGACUUGCAGAAAAAUGAAAACGGUAGCACCCUACACCGUUUCUCCCAUGGUUAAUGCCGUAGCAUUAGCGUGAUCCACUUGUUAAAAUUAAUGCACCAGUGUUAAGGCAUGAUUGUGAACAAAGUGCCUAGUUUAUUCAGAUCCUUUUUUCAUAGUUUACUUGCAUCCUUUUUCUGGUACAGGAUCCCACUCAAGAUUCCACAUCACGUUUAGUUAUCACGUUCCUUUAGGCUCCUCUUGGCUGUGCCAGUUUCUCAGACUUGCUUUGUCUUCUGUGACCUUGACAAGUUUCAAGGACUGCCGGUCAGGUUUUUGGUAGGCUCCUCCUCUGUUGGAAUACUUUGACUGAUGUUUUGCUUAUGAUCAGAGGAGGAAGUUCUCAGGAGGAAAGCGCCAUUUUUAUCAUAUAUCAAGGGCACAUCCUAUCAACAUGAUUUAUCACUGUGGGUAUUGACCUUGAUCACCUGGCUCAGGUAGUGUUUGUCGGUUUCCUCCACCGGAAAGUUACUCCGUUUUUCCCUUUUCAAAGUAUCCUCUUUGGAAGGAAGUCACUCUGUGGUUCAGUUCUGCUUGUAUCAGUAGGGACUCAAGGAUAUUUAUUUUAUUUAUAUGUUGGGUUAUAAUUCAAGACCACUGGGAGCUCUUUCACCCAUCAACGUUGGUGCUUUUGUUUAGUGUUUUGUUUGGCUUUUGUUUUGAGCAUUUUCUUAUCUCUGACACCACAUCUCGUAUGUUUCCUGCACCAGUCUUAAAAUCAGCCAUUUCUCCAUGUGGAGCCAUGGCUCCUUCUAUGGGAGAAUGGUGUUAGAAACCAAGCUCUGGGGCUGAGUGUGCCCAUGGCUCGUAGGGUGGCAUUUCUUCUAGGCCUUCUCAGCUGACAGAGAGAAGAAACAUAUGUGUGUAUAUUAACCCACAUGUAUGUACACAUCUGUAAAUGUUUUUAUAUGUAUCCAUCUAUAUCUAUAUUUAGCCAAACGUGAGUUCGUCCUGAUGUCUCCAGGAUCCGUUAUGUUUUAUAAUGUGAUUUGAAAUAGUAGUCUGUCACCAUAUUGAUAAGUAUAAUUAUAGCUAGCACUUACUGACUGCUCAUGAUGGUUGAGUUCUAAGUGUUUAAUGGGCAUCAUCUUUAUGCUUCAUGACAACCCCAGGUCCUGGUUACUCCCCUCAACCCCAUUUUACUGAUGAGGACAUAAAGGCACAGAGAAGCUUUCCUGAGAUAUGAUGGACACAGAACAUUGUGAUAUUUAAGGUGUACAGCCUGUUGAGUUGAUACCUUCUCUACUGCAAAGUGAUCACCACCCUCGUGUUCGCAAACACCUCCUGUGGAAUGUCUUUCUUUUACGCAUCAUGCUGUGGUUUUGGGAAGGAAGAACAUAGGACCCAGUACCUCGUAGAUGCUCUGAGGCCCCGGAGCCUGCUGGACAUAUGGAGGAAAAGAAUGAACUUCUUCGGGACUUAUCGUCGCCUGUGAAGUGAGUGCUUUCCAUCUACUUGCCACAUACAUAGAACCUCUCAACCACCACUGAGGCGAAGACUAUACCCAUCCUCACUUAGCAGAAUGGAAGAGACAAGAGAAAGACAACUGUGCUCUAGAAAUGUGGUUUUGCUUCAUCCCCACCACAACUGUCCAAGGCGUGUAUGUCUCUUAUCCCCAUCGGACAGUUGAGGACACGGUUGAAGACACUGGCGCGAGGUCCCCCAGCUGGGUCUGAGCUAGGUCUGUCCAAACCCCAAAGUCUGUUUUUAAACCGGGAUGCUCAGGUGCCCUUCAGAAUGUCCUUCAAGGAAAUUGCAUUGCUUUGAAAAUCUGAGGGGGAAAACCAAACAAACCAAACAAGAAAUAUUACAUUUUUUUAACCACUUACUCGAGCUCUGAUGGGGCCUAAGACGAACUCAGCAAGGGGCACUGUUUGUACUUCAGGUGGGGCGUUCCUUCAUCAUGCCUGGCCGUACCCCGAUGGCAAGUCCCUGCCCCUAAAACCCCAGCUGAGCCAUCCCGUCAUCUGUCACCCAGAACCACCCCCCUCACACUCUCCAAACCUCCCCCACUCCCAGUUGCAGAAUGCUGGUUGGGAUUGAGCAGGGCCAGGAGCCGUCUUGUGUGGCUGUGGGGUCUGGGUGGAGGAGAGAGACACGAGAGGCCGGCAGCCCCAGACUCACAGGCCAGGUGGCCACCAAGGGCCAUCCACUCUUGGGCCAGCUGAGGCCAGGCCGGGAGGGCCGGAGCCCGGUGCUGUGAGCUGGGCAGGCGGCCACUACAGUGGGGACCGGGAAGGCGUGCGCUCCCUCCGCCUGCCCGGCAGCAGCCCGUGGCUGCCCGCCAGGCCCUGCCUGACGUCAGGGUCUGACCAGGGACAUAAUGUGCUGGCGUCGGGACAAGGGCUGGCUGCAGGGAGACAGGGCCGCGAGGCGGGGCGGUCAGAGAGAGACAGGCUAGGCGGGGAGAGAAGAGGAGAAA